rnacentral:rRNA from 1 species
UACAGAGGGUGCAAGCGUUGUUCGGAAUUACUGGGCGUAAAGCGCACGUAGGCGGCGAUUCAAGUCAGGGGUGAAAUCCCGGGGCUCAACCCCGGAACUGCCUCUGAAACUAGAUUGCUAGAAUCCUGGAGAGGCGAGUGGAAUUCCGAGUGUAGAGGUGAAAUUCGUAGAUAUUCGGCGGAACACCAGUGGCGAAGGCGACUCACUGGCCCGAUACUGACGCUGAGGCGCGAAAGCGUGGGGAGCAAACAGG